UAAGACGAAGACUCCAGUCCAAGCUUCAUCAAAGUCAUCCAGCUGUGGAAUCGAUCAACUGCUGGGACAAUAAUCAAGUGAAAUCAUGAUGAAGAUACUGGUACUGCUUGGAUGUCUCCUGAGUCUGGCUCUGGCUCUUCCAGUGGACGAAGUGCAUGAGAGAAUUGCUCGUUCUUCCUCUGACUCCAAUUCCAGA